rnacentral:rRNA from 1 species
GAUCAUGGCUCAGGAUGAACGCUAGCUACAGGCUUAACACAUGCAAGUCGAGGGGCAUCAGUUUGGUUUACUUGCAAACCAAAGCUGGCGACCGGCGCACGGGUGAGUAACACGUAUCCAACCUGCCUCAUACUCGGGGAUAGCCUUUCGAAAGAAAGAUUAAUAUCCGAUAGCAUAUAUUUCCCGCAUGGGUUUUAUUAUUAAAGAAAUUCGGUAUGAGAUGGGGAUGCGUUCCAUUAGUUUUG